UUCCACGUGUGGAAUUUUGUAUGUACCAUAUGAAUAAGGAUCGGCUAACUCCGUGCCAGCAGCCGCGGUAAUACGGAGGAUCCGAGCGUUAUCCGGAUUUAUUGGGUUUAAAGGGAGCGUAGGUGGAUUGUUAAGUCAGUUGUGAAAGUUUGCGGCUCAACCGUAAAAUUGCAGUUGAAACUGGCAGUCUUGAGUACAGUAGAGGUGGGCGGAAUUCGUGGUGUAGCGGUGAAAUGCUUAGAUAUCACGAAGAACUCCGAUUGCGAAGGCAGCUCACUAGACUGCAACUGACACUGAUGCUCGAAAGUGUGGGUAUCAAACAGGAUUAGAUACCCUGGUAGUCCACACAGUAAACGAUGAAUACUCGCUGUUUGCGAUAUACAGUAAGCGGCCAAGCGAAAGCAUUAAGUAUUCCACCUGGGGAGUACGCCGGCAACGGUGAAACUCAAAGGAAUUGACGGGGGCCCGCACAAGCGGAGGAACAUGUGGUUUAAUUCGAUGAUACGCGAGGAACCUUACCCGGGCUUAAAUUGCAACAGAAUAUAUUGGAAACAGUAUAGCCGUAAGGCUGUUGUGAAGGUGCUGCAUGGUUGUCGUCAGCUCGUGCCGUGAGGUGUCGGCUUAAGUGCCAUAACGAGCGCAACCCUUAUCUUUAGUUACUAACAGGUCAUGCUGAGGACUCUAGAGAGACUGCCGUCGUAAGAUGUGAGGAAGGUGGGGAUGACGUCAAAUCAGCACGGCCCUUACGUCCGGGGCUACACACGUGUUACAAUGGGGGGUACAGAAGGCGGCUACCUGGUGACAGGAUGCUAAUCCCAAAAACCUCUCUCAGUUCGGAUCGAAGUCUGCAACCCGACUUCGUGAAGCUGGAUUCGCUAGUAAUCGCGCAUCAGCCAUGGCGCGGUGAAUACGUUCCCGGGCCUUGUACACACCGCCCGUCAAGCCAUGAAAGCCGGGGGUACCUGAAGUACGUAACCGCAAGGAGCGUCCUAGGGUAAAACUGGUAAUUGGGGCUAAGUCGUAACAAGGUAGCCGUACCGGAAGGUGCGGCUG
rnacentral:rRNA from 1 species